rnacentral:rRNA from 1 species
AGUCGACGGCAGCACGGACUUCGGUCUGGUGGCGAGUGGCGAACGGGUGAGUAAUACAUCGGAACGUGUCCUGGAGUGGGGGAUAGCCCGGCGAAAGCCGGAUUAAUACCGCAUACGCUCUGCGGAGGAAAGGGGGGGAUCUUCGGACCUCUCGCUCAAGGGGCGGCCGAUGGCAGAUUAGCUAGUUGGUGGGGUAAAGGCCUACCAAGGCGACGAUCUGUAGCUGGUCUGAGAGGACGACCAGCCACACUGGGACUGAGACACGGCCCAGACUCCUACGGGAGGCAGCAGUGGGGAAUUUUGGACAAUGGGCGCAAGCCUGAUCCAGCAAUGCCGCGUGUGUGAAGAAGGCCUUCGGGUUGUAAAGCACUUUUGUCCGGAAAGAAAACUUCUGCCCUAAUACGGCGGGAGGAUGACGGUACCGGAAGAAUAAGCACCGGCUAACUACGUGCCCAGCAGCCGGCGGUAAUACGUAGGGUGCAAGCGUUAAUCGGAAUUACUGGGCGUAAAGCGUGCGCAGGCGGUUCGUUAAGACAGAUGUGAAAUCCCCGGGCUUAACCUGGGAACUGCAUUUGUGACUGGCGGACUCGAGUAUGGCAGAGGGGGGUAGAAUUCCACGUGUAGCAGUGAAAUGCGUAGAGAUGUGGAGGAAUACCGAUGGCGAAGGCAGCCCCCUGGGGCCAAUACUGACGCUCAUGCACGAAAAGCGUGGGGAGCAAACAGGAUUAGAUACCCUGGUAGUCCACGCCCUAAACGAUGUCAACUGGUUGUCGGGGCCUUCAUUGGCUUGGUAACGUAGCUAACGGCGGAUGGAAGUUGACCGCCUGGGGAGUACGGUCGCAAGAUUAAAACUCAAAGGAAUUGACGGGGACCCGCACAAGCGGUGGAUGAUGUGGAUUAAUUCGAUGCAACGCGAAAAGGAGCCAUAACUACAGGUGACAUGCAUGGAAUCCUGUCGUCAGCUCGUGUCGUGAGAUGUUGGGUUAAGUCCCGCAACGAGCGCAACCCUUGUCCCUAGUUGCUACGCAAGAGCACUCCAGGGAGACUGCCGGUGACAAACCGGAAGGAAGGUGGGGAUGACGUCAAGUCCUCAUGGCCCUUAUGGGUAGGGCUUCACACGUCAUACAAUGGUCGGAACCAGAGGGUCGCCCAAGCCGGCGAGGUGGGAGCCAAUCCCCAAAGAAAACCGAAUCGUAGUUCCGGAUCGCACUCUGCAACUCGAGUGCGUGAAGCUUGGAAUCGCCUAGUAAUCGCGGAAUCAGCCAUGCCGCGGUGAAUACGUUCCCGGGGUCUUGUACACACCCGCCCGUCACACCAUGGGAAGUGGGUUUUACCAGAAGUGGCUAAGUCUAACCGCAAGGGAAAGGACGGUCACCACGGUAGGAUUUCAUGACUGGGGUGAAAGUCGUAACAAGGUAGCCGUAUCGGAAGGUGCGCUGGA